CUGACACACACACAAGCUUACUACAAACAAACUGUUAUACACACAGAAGCUUACUACAGACAAGCUCACUGACAUACAUGCUCACUACAGACAAGCUCACACUGUCACACACACAUGCUCAAUACAACCAAGGUCACUGACACACAAACACAUGCUCACUAGACACAAACUCACUGACACAUAUACACAUGCUCACUACAUACAAG